rnacentral:rRNA from 1 species
AGUGAACGCUGGCGGUGGGCCUAACACAUGCAAGUCGAACGGCAGCACAGUAAGAGCUUGCUCUUACGGGUGGCGAGUGGCGGACGGGUGAGGAAUACAUCGGAAUCUACUUUUUCGUGGGGGAUAACGUAGGGAAACUUACGCUAAUACCGCAUACGACCUACGGGUGAAAGCAGGGGAUCUUCGGACCUUGCGCGAUUGAAUAAGCCGAUGUCGGAUUAGCUAGUUGGCGGGGUAAAGGCCCACCAAGGCGACGAUCCGUAGCUGGUCUGAGAGGAUGAUCAGCCACACUGGAACUGAGACACGGUCCAGACUCCUACGGGAGGCAGCAGUGGGGAAUAUUGGACAAUGGGCGCAAGCCUGAUCCAGCCAUACCGCGUGGGUGAAGAAGGCCUUCGGGUUGUAAAGCCCUUUUGUUGGGAAAGAAAAGCAGCAGGUUAAUACCCCGCUGUUCUGACGGUACCCAAAGAAUAAGCACCGGCUAACUUCGUG